rnacentral:rRNA from 1 species
AGAGUUUGAUCCUGGCUCAGAACGAACGCUGGCGGCAGGCUUAACACAUGCAAGUCGAACGCGUGUAGCAAUACACGAGUGGCGCACGGGUGAGUAACACGUGGAUUAUCUGCCUUUUGGUUCGGAAUAACCCCGGGAAACUGGGGCUAAUACCGGAUGGUUCCUUCGGGAUAAAGAUUUAUCGCCAAAAGAUGAGUCCGCGUCCGAUUAGCUAGUUGGCGGGGUAACGGCCCACCAAGGCAACGAUCGGUAGCUGGUCUGAGAGGACGAUCAGCCACACUGGGACUGAGACACGGCCCAGACUCCUACGGGAGGCAGCAGUGGGGAAUAUUGGACAAUGGGGGCAACCCUGAUCCAGCCAUGCCGCGUGAGCGAUGAAGGCCUUCGGGUUGUAAAGCUCUUUUGGCGGGGACGAUGAUGACGGUACCCGCAGAAUAAGCCCCGGCUAACUUCGUGCCAGCAGCCGCGGUAAGACGAAGGGGGCUAGCGUUGUUCGGAAUUACUGGGCGUAAAGCGCGUGUAGGCGGUUGCCCAAGUCGGGUGUGAAAGCCUUGAGCUCAACUCAAGAAUUGCACUCGGUACUGGGUGGCUAGAGGACCGGAGAGGAUAGUGGAAUUCCCAGUGUAGUGGUGAAAUACGUAGAGAUUGGGAAGAACACCAGUGGCGAAGGCGGCUAUCUGGACGGUUUCUGACGCUAAGACGCGAAAGCGUGGGGAGCAAACAGGAUUAGAUACCCUAGUAGUCC